AUUGAACGCUGGCGGCAUGCCUUACACAUGCAAGUCGAACGGUAACGGGCCUUCGGGUGCCGACGAGUGGCGAACGGGUGAGUAAUACAUCGGAACGUGCCCGAUCGUGGGGGAUAACGAGGCGAAAGCUUUGCUAAUACCGCAUACGAUCUACGGAUGAAAGCAGGGGACCGCAAGGCCUUGCGCGGACGGAGCGGCCGAUGGCAGAUUAGGUAGUUGGUGGGUUAAAAGCUUACCAAGCCGACGAUCUGUAGCUGGUCUGAGAGGAUGAUCAGCCACACUGGGACUGAGACACGGCCCAGACUCCUACGGGAGGCGGCAGUGGGGAAUUUUGGACAAUGGGCGCAAGCCUGAUCCAGCCAUGCCGCGUGCAGGAUGAAGGCCUUCGGGUUGUAAACUGCUUUUGUACGGAACGAAAAGCCUUCUUUUAAUACAGGAGGGUCAUGACGGUACCGUAAGAAUAAGCACCGGCUAACUACGUG
rnacentral:rRNA from 1 species